UUAUGCGCUGCCAACAACAACGAUAACGAAAGCAAAGUCCAACAACAUUGACACGAGAACGACGAAGGAGGAACGAAUAACGCCGACUUGAUUGCGAAGAUAUACACAUGUAUGUAUGUGUGUACAGAGACUACAGUGGACACGAUGUACGGAGUGGCGACAUCGGUGGGGCGUGCAUUGACUGCCGGCGCAGGCGAGACCAGCAGUAGCAGGCAAAGGCAGCAUUUCAAAUAUUUCACUCUUUAGUUGGCGCGACUGGCAAGCGAAACUACGAAACGCUGCGGCAAAGCAAAGGCAAAACGAGACAACGGCGGCAGCAGCGGUAACAACAAGCGUCAUACAUACAUACAUCAUAAGUAUAUGUAUGUAGAUAUUCUAAGUGUGCUCACAUGCGGAGCUCGAAAGCGCGAAAAACGCGAACGCAGCACUCAGAAGUGCUCAACAACGCGGCGGCGGUGUAUGCCAGCGAUUUCGGUGUGGAACACCAAAUCUCGGUUCUCGGUUCUCGAUUCUCGGAUUCUUCAGUUUAUUUCUUAAAUUGCCAAAAAUUCAGUUCGUUUCAUUUUCUGUGGUAUGUUUAUUUGAAAAAAAAAAUUGUUUCUAAAAUUUUAAAAAUAAAGUGAUUGGUGGAAAAUUCUUUUGCGUGUCACAAAUUUUGGCGAAAUAUAAUUGAGUCAAAAUAUAUAUACAUACAUAUAUAUAGAUAUAUAUAUACCUGCAUUCAAGCAUAAGAUAAAAUUGCAAUGCAACACAAAUGCAAAUACAACAAAAAUAAAGUAAGAAAAUAAGUUUAAAGUAAAGCAACAAAAGAUAUAUUUUAAAAGCGCUUAUAUAUAAAUUAGAAAAUAAAACUGAAAACAACAACAACACUAAUAAACAACUAUUGCUAAGCGCAAAUUGCAACAACAGCAACAAAAAUUGAAAAAAUAUACAAAACUAAAAUAUUACAACAACUUAGAGGCAAACUAGCAACAACAAUAAGACAUACCUGCAACAGAAGCAUACAAAAUUCAGUUACUUAGCAUGCGCCCUUCCAGCAGAAUAUAGAAAAUAAUAUUAAACAAAAAAUAUUAAAAAAAUAUUAACAAAACAAACAAAAAAUAUUGCAAAAAAAUAUUUUUAAAAAAUUAGCAAAAAAUAUUCAAAAACUAAAUAUUAUGAAAAAAAUAAAAUAAUUGCCUAAAGUCACAAAAGCGAACACAAAAGCGAAGCAGCAAAUUAAAUAAAAUUAAAAAAUAAAUAUAUGUACAUAUAUACAAAAAUACAUAAAGACAACCCAAAGCAAGCCAGUGAGCAAGCAAACGUUCUCAAGUGCAAUAUUUGUUGAAAACAAACGUAAUUUAAUUAGCAAAUAAUAAUUAAAUCAAUAAAAAAAUUAUUAUUAAUUUGUUUUUAUAAUUAAGUCUACAGACGAUUCUGCCUAGAAUUGUCAAUUGUUAAAAUAUAAAUAUAUUAUAAAUAAAAAACAUACACACAAACCGUUAUAAAUCAAUAAAUUCCUGUUAUUGUGAUUAAAAACAAAAUUUAACAAAAGUUAAACAAAUUUAAUGCAAAGCAAUUAAGCAAAGCCAGUAAGAAUACUAAGCAGUUAUGCUGUAAGCGAUAAGCCAGAAAGCAAGAGUUACGGUAAAAAACAACAAAAAACAAAAAUUAAAGAAUUGCAACAAAAUAUAAAAAAUUACUAACCAAAAAGUAUAAAAAAAUAAAAUAUUAAAAAAUAAAUUCAAAAAAUAAAAAUUUAAAAAAUUAAAAAAAAAUUACGAAAAUUUAAAAAUAAUUAGACAAAAAAAUUAAAAAUAAAUUAAAUAAAAUUUUAAAACAAAAAUUCAAAAAAUUUGAAAUAAUUAAAAAAAAAUUCAGCAAUUCAAAGCGCUUACAAAAUCUCCAUACAAGCAAUUUUACAAUUCAACCAGUAAUUAUUGCUCAUUUUUUGUGUGUCGCGAUUCCUGUUCUAAGCCAGAAACAAAAAUACAAAACAUAACCUAAAAAGCGAAAAAAAACGAAAGCAAAAUAAAGCCAGAAACAAGUAUUGUGCUGUGACCGGUGUGUCUUUGUUGUAAUUUUUUUAUUUUUGCCCCCCACCCCACGUUAAAAUUUGUAUGAAAAAAUGAGUGACCGGGAGCGAUCGUCCCCAACACUGAUCGAAACUGGUUUAAAGAAUCUAAUCGGCGGUCGAGAUGGGAAUUAUCCACUCAUCAGCGGCAUAAAUGGUAAGCGAACUUUCUCCAAUGAUUUUUUAUUUUCGGUAUAAACAAAAGGAAUGGUAAGCAAAUUUUUGACUUAGAACUAAUAUUCUUUCAGAAAAUAGUAUGAAAAGGAAAGUUCUUAUGACAUCUUGUGUUAAUCCAGAAAUUUGAGAAUCCAGAAAUUUUUAGUAUUACUAUCUAAGUCGAAAGUCUAGGUACAAUUAAAACAUUAUUCUGUUAUGAAAGCAGAAAGCUUGUGGAUGUACUUACUAUACAAUUUAUAUAUAUAUUAUUACCAAUAGAACAAUAAUUACGAGUAUGCCUAAGAAUAUAUUACCAAACAAGCUUUUACAGACUUUGUUGAUAUUGAUUACGGCGGCUAAGGGAUCUAGGCCAUUUAUACCAUUUUGGUCGACCACUUUUUGCCAUUUUUCCGCAAGAGACUUUAUUUCAUCAGUGUAAAACUUUUCUGGUUUCUCGGCAAAAAACUACGACAAGUAAUUUUCACUGGCUUCUCUUGUAGCCAACUUUACUCCAUUAAGGAAGUUCCGCAUUGACUGAAACAAAUGGUAGUCCGUUGGUGCAAGGUCAGGGCUAUAUGGUAGAUACAAGUCAUCAAAGAUGUGUGUGCUCUAGCGUUGUCCUGAUGGAAGACGAAGCCCGUUCUGAUGAUUGGUUCUGGCCGUUUUUUUUCGAAUGCUUGCUUAAAUCUCAUCAAUUGUUGACUGUAAAAUGAAGAAUCAAGCAGCUCAUAGUGGAUUAUUCUUUUCCAAUCCAACCAAAAACUCUCUCCAGCAACGACAUCUGUUCACAAAAUACGAUAAGGCUUUUUGGACUACCCAAUAGUAUAAAUGAUCAGUGUGACGAGUUGAGUCGAUUUUGCCAUGCUUGGCUGUCUGUUUAUAUGAGAUUUAGUACCUCAUUUUUUGAGAUAUUGUUCUGAAAAUUUGCAUUCCUCCAUUUCUCACCAAGAAGCUGCUUAUUUGUCGGAACCGUCGAUAUCGGAUCAUUACAACAUAUAGCUGCCAUAUAAACUGACCGAUGGGAAUAAAGCGAUUAUAUGAGAAGCUUUUCCAUUUGACGAGAUAUCUUUACGAAAAUUGGCGUAACUUAUUAAUUAAAGCAAUGUGCAAUACAGACGGAGAAAUUGUUUACAUUGGAUAGUUAUAGCAUAUAGCUGCCAUACGAACUAAACAAUCGGCAUCAAGUGCUUGUAUUGCAAUAUUUUACAUUUGAAGAGAUAUUUUAUCAAAAUUUCGGAGAGGUUAUUGUAAGAGGACUUUUUUCUCCGAAGCAACAGAAAAACAGAUAUAAUUCAACGUUCUCUUAUAGAUCUUUAACUCAUUUCAGCGCUGACAAAGUCAGCCGAUAUAGUUUAGAGAGCUAAAUGAGGAGCAAGAGACCCACAAUUUGAAGUAUUCAUAUUGGUUUUAUUGUUUCGCUUUGAAAAUAUCAUAUCAUCGUAUUUGUCAAGUUUGAUUAUAUUUGUUUCAAGUACAUUUUUUAGUUCAACUCUUUCUAAUUGGAUUAAAAAAACUAUACUUUGGUUAAUUUUGGAGGCAGAUCUCUUCUUGAUUAGCUCUGUUAAAAACUUCACCUAAAAACAUACAAUGUCGGUGACUUAAAAUUUUAAUCUACUGAUUCUUCUAAAGAGUAUCGUCAAUGUGAUAUGAUCAAAUUUGACCCGGAUUCACAUUAAAAAAUACAUAUUAAAAAAAAUAUAUAUAUUUAUUAAUGUCUUUACAAUAUGCUUCUGAAGUGUUACAAGCUUGUCCACGCUUAAUCCAAUUUUCUAGGUACUUCUAAGAAGCCUUCGAUUGCCUUCAGCGACUUCGGCGAAUUUUUGGUUUUUUCCUUCUAAAGAGUAUUGCAAAUUCCAUAGAUCAAAUUUGACCCG